UUGCUGGCAGAAGUCAGAAGGGACAAGGCAGAGAACCUACUGAGUCACAAUGUGGUGGAAGAUGUCAUCAUUUUCAAAGCAGGUGAAGAAGCACCCUGGACUGGUACCAUUGCUUGGUUUCACAGGCCUGGGAAUGAUUAAUGUUACCAUCUACCUGGUGAAGAAUACUCUGUUCAACCCAGAAUUAAGUUGGGUAAAGAAGGAAGAGCCAGAACCAUGGUAUAAAUGAGGUCCGGACCUCUGAAGGAGAAGUGAAGACCUUAAAGUGUUUUUUUAAUGAAAACAGUUUUCCUGGAUCUGAAAAUGCAUGUUGCAGAGUGGACUCAAGCUCCUUCUGCAUAGGAUAAUUUUUCUGGGUCAAUGGCCAGGCACCUGUACUAUAUGAA